rnacentral:rRNA from 1 species
UUGAACGCUGGCGGCAGGCCUAACACAUGCAAGUCGAGCGGUUGAGAGUAGCUUGCUACUUGAUGCAGCGGCGGACGGGUGAGUAACGCGUGGGAAUCUGCCCAGUAGUGGGGGACAACAGCCGGAAACGGCUGCUAAUACCGCAUACGCCCUACGGGGGAAAGGGGGGGAUCUUCGGACCUCUCGCUAUUGGAUGAGCCCGCGUCGGAUUAGCUAGUUGGUAGGGUAAAGGCCUACCAAGGCUACGAUCCGUAACUGGUCUGAGAGGAUGACCACUCACCCUGGAGCUGGCACACGGUCCGGAGUCCUACGGGAGGCAGCAGUGGGGAAUAUUGGACAAUGGGGGAAACCCUGAUCCAGCCAUGCCGCGCGUGUGAAGAAGGCCUUAGGGUUGUAAAGCACUUUCAGUGGGGAGAAAGGUUUGUCACCUAAUACGUGAUGAAAUUGAUGUUACCCACAGAAGAAGCACCGGCUAACUCCGUGCCAGCAGCCGCCGUAAUAC